CCCCUUAGUUCUGCCAAAACACUGCUCUGGCCAUAUUCCACUGGUGAAACCCAACCAGUCUUCAGAUGCUAUGAGUGUGGCAUGUAGCUAUACAGUCCCAAAUCGGAACCAAUCGGAAGCAGCGCUUUGGUUUCCAAACGUUUUGGAAGUCAAAAAACUUCCGGAACGGAUUCCGUUCGACUUCCAGGCGACAUCUGCCCCAGUUUUUGAUGGUACGAACAAGGGGCUGUCUGGUCUCAGCAGGAAAGCAUCUGUUUGACAUUCCAUAUCAACUUCGAUGAUGCGGUCUGCAAUCUCUUCCAGGCUCUCCAGAGAAUGGUAUCCGGACAGAGUUCUUUCAACUCGAGUGAACUGCAGACAGAAAGGGAACCAGCAUGACGCUCUCCUCCUCCUCAGACUAAUUUGCCUGAGAGAGAUGCGGAGACACACACAGAGAGCCCUUCCGCACCACGUGUGCUGCAUGCAAAAUGAGUUGUGGUGGAAAGGGGGGCAGGUGGAAAGUCACAAACGUAAGAGGCACAGGAAGGAGCAUCAUGGCUCAAAGGCAGAAGUCAGAGCUCCCCAGCAGAUGCUCCCCAGUCCCCUUGGCUUCCUCUUUCCUUUUAGGGCAGCUGCAGUCUGGCUGUGUGUUUGGGUGUUUUGUUUUUUCCUACUUGAAUUAAAAAAAAACCCCAGUAUUGUUACAGACAGAAAGGCAAUGGAACAGAUGAAGUGCCUCACAGGUAAGCUUUCCACCUUACGACAGGAAUCAGGUGGGAUGUGUGAAGAAAAAGAAGUGGUCUUGUGUAGGCUGCCUUGAGGCCUUUUAAAGGGCAUUCUGCAGUUUUAGGCACGAGAAUCCUUCUCAGAGACCUUUCUUUCACCGCGUGCCCGACUCUUAAGACGUCAAA